GCUAAUACAUGCGCACAUACCUCUUCCCUCGUGGAAGGGUAGUGUUUAUUAGAUACAGAACCAACCCACCUUCGGGUGGUCCCCAGGUGAUUCAUAGUAACCGAACGGAUCGCAUUAUGACCUUUUGGUCGGCGAUGGAUCAUUCAAGUUUCUGACCUAUCAGCUUUCGACGGUACUGUAUUGGACUACCGUGGCAGUGACGGGUAACGGGGAAUUAGGGUUCGAUUCCGGAGAGGGAGCCUGAGAAACGGCUACCACAUCUAAGGAAGGCAGCAGGCGCGCAAAUUACCCAAUCCUGACUCAGGGAGGUAGUGACAAGAAAUAACAACACUGGAAAUUAUAUUUCUAGUGAUUGGAAUGAUGGGAAUCCAAACCCCUUUCAGAGUAACAAUUGGAGGGCAAGUCUGGUGCCAGCAGCCGCGGUAAUUCCAGCUCCAAUAGCGUAUAUUAAAGUUGUUGCAGUUAAAAAGCUCGUAGUUGGAUAUCUGCUGGAAGCAGCCAGUCCGCCCUUUGUGGGUGUGCACUUGGUGAAUUCUGGCAUCCUCCUGAUUGGUGUCAUCAUCACUUCAUUGUGUUGGUGGCAGCUGUCAGGACCGUUACUUUGAGAAAAUUAGAGUGUUUCAAGCAGGCUUGUUGCCUUGAAUACUGCAGCAUGGAAUAACAAGAUAGGAUUUCGGUUCUAUUUUGUUGGUUUCUAGGACUGAAGUUAUGAUUAAUAGGGACAGUUGGGGGCAUUCGUAUUUAACUGUCAGAGGUGAAAUUCUUAGAUUUGUUAAAGACGAA
rnacentral:rRNA from 1 species